rnacentral:rRNA from 1 species
CACGUAGGCGGAUAGGUAAGUCAGAUGUGAAAUCCCGGGGCUCAACUUCGGAACUGCAUUUGAUACUGCCUGUCUUGAGUGUGGUAGAGGGGGGUGGAAUUCCCGGUGUAGAGGUGAAAUUCGUAGAUAUCGGGAGGAACACCAGAGGCGAAGGCGACCCCCUGGGCCACUACUGACGCUGAGGUGCGAAAGCGUGGGGAGCAAACAG